UACGAAGGGGGCUAGCGUUGCUCGGAAUUACUGGGCGUAAAGGGCGCGUAGGCGGAUAUUUAAGUUAGAGGUGAAAGCCCAGGGCUCAACCCUGGAAUAGCCUUUAAUACUGGAUAUCUUGAGUUCGGGAGAGGUGAGUGGAACUCCGAGUGUAGAGGUGAAAUUCGUAGAUAUUCGGAAGAACACCAGUGGCGAAGGCGACUCACUGGCCCGAUACUGACGCUGAGGCGCGAAAGCGUGGGGAG
rnacentral:rRNA from 1 species